AUUAAUCCACCCAUGUUUGGGCACAACUCUAUAUAUAUCACGUACUACCAUUGUACGAGGACCUUUUGCAAGACAAACUUUUGCUUAAUAAGAAUUCUAUUCCUUCUUAUUGUGGGGUCACGUUUUGAGAGAGAAAGGAAGGAGAGAGAAACUUUUGAAUCGGUACUCCUAGGCUCAAGGUAAAUCUUUCUCUCUCUUCUUUUAUUUUAUUCUUCUCUCUCUUCUUCUCUUUCUUCUUCUUCUUCGUAUGAGCUUCUCUCAGAGACCAUGCACGGUAGAGGGAGUGUUGUGCAAGCCUCUUUCUUUUCUUUUUCCCCUCUUGUGGUUUCACAGGUCGUGCACGGCGAUGGCAGCUCCAUGCGUGAGCUUCUUUCUCCUUCUUGUUGUUCAUCUUUAUCUCUCAGCAAGGUUCGCAGACGGUGCUGCUCAACGCCAUCAGCAGAUGUGUCCUUGACAUCUCAGCAAGGAGCACAGACGAUCAGUCUAUUGUCGCCCACAGGGGUCUUCCCUUGUUGCAAGCCUAUUGGAGACGGUGAUGCCUAUCACCACCCGCGAAGGGUCGCGAUAACACCUAUCGCCGUCCGCAAGCUCCUUUCAUGCACUCGGCGCCUAUCGCCGUCCACGAGCUUCCUUUAUGCGCUCGGUGCCUAUCGCCGACCACAAGCCUCUUUCUUGCGUCCCGUGCCUAUCGUCGUGCACCUCAUAAGGAACUUUCGUCUCGUGCUUCACAAGUGGCUAUCGUCACGCGCUUCACAGGAAGCUAUCGUCGCCCACGAAGGGGUGUGAUGCCUUCUCGCGUUGCCAAUGGCGAUGCCUAGCGCCGCUCGUAGUUCAUUGCUCACCUUAAAGCCAUGAGCAGUAGUGUCUCGCGCCACCCAAGGGCCGUGAUACUGUUACUCCACGGUUGUGGGUGGUGAUGCCUAGCUCUGUUGGGACCCCAUCUCUUUGCCGCCUUGUGCCUUCUCUCGAUUUGAAAUGCAAGCUUACCGUCUUUGACUAAUUAUUUAUUACCAUCGUCCAAUGGUUAAAAAAUUAUGUUGUCUUAACCUAAAAUAAAUAAAUAAACGCUUUGUUUCUUUCGUUUUAAAAAAUUAAUAAAUCUAAAAAAUUGGUAUAAGAUUAUAAAAAAUUGGAGGAUUUUCUAACAUUUUAACACUCUAUUCUAUUUUGAUGUGCACCUUACUUUAAGUGUAUAAGAUUAACACCUUAUAUAGACCUUUCCUCUUUGACAAGAUAUUACACUCCAAAAAAACUUAGUUAUGAACAGAGCCUAGUUUAACUCCAGCACCAAUGAACACGAACUUCUAGUCUAUGAAAUCUAGUAUUAAGUUAAAAGGGAAAGCUUUAUAUGAUCUCCCUAGAGCAUAGAAGUUUUAUAAUGCAUGGAUGAGAUUAAUCCACUUGAGUUGUCAAAAAAAAAAAAAAAGCACAAGUUCAACCGGUAACCAUAUCUAAAUAACCCGUACAAAAGAUAUUCCCAUUUGACAAGUUAGAUAGAGGAAACUCGAUUGGAAAGGAGAGAGAAAAAGAGAGCGUUGAGCAAGCCGAGAGAGAGAGAAAGUGCGGAACCUUGAAUCCCUAAUUUCUAUCCAAAGCGAGGGUGUUUUGGACAGCAGCUCUUCUUGCGCUUCCCAUUGUGAGUCAUUUUUUUGAAGCUAAGGCGGGCGAUCAUGGUUUUUUUGGACAACAGCCCUUCUUGUGCCUCCCAUUUUGAGCCAUUUUUUUUAAAGCUAUGGCAGGGUGAUAUGGACGUUGCUCCUGAUUGGAUCUAGGGUUUUUUCUGGGUCGAUUCCGGUACGUUGCUCCUGAUUUGGAUCUAGGGUUUUUUUUGCGUCGAUUCUGGUUGAGUAAGCGCAUAGAGCAACUUGAAUUCAUUAAAUGAGGGAUCUCUAAGGUUCUUAUAGAAAUCUUCGAUUAACAUGUAUGUUGCUUUGUGAUCAGUAGAGGCUUGCCGUUUGGCACACUUCUAAUCGGUAUUACUGAUUAAAAGUUAUGGACAUCAUAGAGAAGGGUACUCAAGUGGUGACAUUGUUGCUAAUAUGAAGCCUAUUGAGCCUUACAUACCCAUUGAGGCACUCGUACACCUGAUUCAUCCUAUAAGACAGACCAGGAUGAAUUCUAUGAAGACAAUACAAGAAGUCAAAAUAGAGGCCAUAUGUAUAUCCUAAAUUUUCAAUGACUAUAUCAGUUUGGAUAAUAAUGCAAGAAGUUAAUGCAGAGGCUAUAUCUUUAAGAAAAAGAUUGGAGUUUUUUUUACAAGCCCAAUGGUCAACCCGCAAGCCCAUCAUCUCAGAAAUGUUUUGCAAGUCCAAUGCUCAACAAUCAAGCUCAUCAUCUUAGAAAUUUUUUGUAAGCCCAAUGCUCAACAAUCAAGCUCAUCAUCUUAGACGUUUUUUGUGACCCCAAUGCUAGUGGAGAAGACUUUGUCUUACAUUUUUUGCAACCCUAAUGCUAGUGGAGAAGACUUUGUCUUGGAACGGAGCUUCGAAAUGGAAUUUUUGUAUAGCUUCCAUAUGUUGCAAAUUCACGUUGCAAUAGUUUCAAUGUGCAUAUUGAAUAGCUUCAAAAUAGAAUUUUUGUAUAGCUUUCCAUUUUACAAAUUCUUGUUGCAAAUAAAAUUUUUGUAUAGCUUCGAAAUGAAAUUUGUGUAUAGCUUUCAUACGUUGCAAACGAUAUGUA